UUGUCUAUUAUGACAAACCUAUAUCAUGAAGAGAGAUGGUGAUAUAAAAUCAUGCUCAAUAGAAUGACCCUGAGGCCC